GGCCACUAUACUCACCUCCGGUUCGGUGAAAGAACACUCUACCACGAAGUCUGCUAACGCCUGCCCUUUGAUUGCCGUUCGGGGGCGAUACUCUAUAACAAAUUGUGUCAACUCCAUUGCCCAUGCGGCCAACCGACAUGAUACUUCGGGCUUGUGCAGAAUCUUCUUUAAAGGCUGAUCCGUGUAGACCACUAUCAACCGACCCUAGAAAUAGUGCCUGAGUUUUCUGCUAGCAAUUAUGAGGGCGU
rnacentral:lncRNA from 1 species